GAACGAUCUCUUCCCCGUCUGCGAUUUGUCCUAAACUCAUCUCUUCAGCUCACUAUCUCCGAUUCUCCAUAGCCUCUAAUCUAUUCCCAGUUCUUAUUCUCAGAUUAGAAGGGGGACGGAGAAGUUUUGCUAAAUUUUUCUUUCCUGAAAGGCCCCUGUCCAUUUCCAGUAAUGCCAAAUACAAACCUGUACUUUUCAAGAUAGA
rnacentral:misc_RNA from 1 species